rnacentral:rRNA from 1 species
GCGAUACAGGGUGACAGCCCCGUACACAAAAAUGCACAUGCUGUGAGCUCGAUGAGUAGGGCGGGACACGUGGUAUCCUGUCUGAAUAUGGGGGGACCAUCCUCCAAGGCUAAAUACUCCUGACUGACCGAUAGUGAACCAGUACCGUGAGGGAAAGGCGAAAAGAACCCCGGCGAGGGGAGUGAAAAAGAACCUGAAACCGUGUACGUACAAGCAGUGGGAGCACAGAGCAAUCUGUGUGACUGCGUACCUUUUGUAUAAUGGGUCAGCGACUUAUAUUCUGUAGCAAGGUUAACCGAAUAGGGGAGCCGAAGGGAAACCGAGUCUUAACUGGGCGUUAAGUUGCAGGGUAUAGACCCGAAACCCGGUGAUCUAGCCAUGGGCAGGUUGAAGGUUGGGUAACACUAACUGGAGGACCGAACCGACUAAUGUUGAAAAAUUAGCGGAUGACUUGUGGCUGGGGGUGAAAGGCCAAUCAAACCGGGAGAUAGCUGGUUCUCCCCGAAAGCUAUUUAGGUAGCGCCUCGUGAAUUCAUCUCCGGGGGUAGAGCACUGUUUCGGCAAGGGGGUCAUCCCGACUUACCAACCCGAUGCAAACUGCGAAUACCGGAGAAUGUUAUCACGGGAGACACACGGCGGGUGCUAACGUCCGUCGUGAAGAGGGAAACAACCCAGACCGCCAGCUAAGGUCCCAAAGUCAUGGUUAAGUGGGAAACGAUGUGGGAAGGCCCAGACAGCCAGGAUGUUGGCUUAGAAGCAGCCAUCAUUUAAAGAAAGCGUAAUAGCUCACUGGUCGAGUCGGCCUGCGCGGAAGAUGUAACGGGGCUAAACCAUGCACCGAAGCUGCGGCAGCGACGCU